AUGAACGUUGGCGGCGUGGAUUAGGCAUGCAAGUCGAGCGAGAACCGUAGCAAUACGGGGACAGCGGCGAAAGGGAGAGUAAUGCGUGGAUACCUACCCUCGGGUCCGGGAUAGCUGCGGGAAACUGCAGGUAAUACCGGAUGACAUCUCCGGAUCAAAGGUGUGAUUCCGCCUGAGGAUGAGUCUACAUCCUAUUAGCUAGUUGGCAGGGUAACGGCCUACCAAGGCGAUGAUGGGUAGCGGGUGUGAGAGCACGACCCGCGUCAUUGGGACUGAGACACUGCCCAGACACCUACGGGUGGCUGCAGUCGAGAAUCUUCGGCAAUGGGCGCAAGCCUGACCGAGCGACGCCGCGUGCGGGAUGAAGGCCUUCGGGUUGUAAACCGCUGUCAGAGGGGAUGAAAUGCAGGUGGGUUCUCCCAUCUGUUUGACAUAGCCUCAGAGGAAGGACGGGCUAAGUUCGU
rnacentral:rRNA from 1 species